GGCGAGGUAGCUCAGGUGGUUAGAGCGUAGGAUUCAUAACCCUAAGGUCGGGGUUCAAUUCCCCCCCUCGCUA
rnacentral:tRNA from 1 species